ensembl:lncRNA
CUCGGGAUCUUUUUUGUUACUUUGACCACAAAUAAUAAGUAGUGCAUUGUAAAACGGUUUUCAUUGUCCGACAUUUGAAAUGACACGUAAAAAAAAAGGCGGAAGCAAAGGAAUACAUUUUUAAUAGUCAACAUCCAAAAAUCCAAACUUACAAAGUAAUUAUGUUGAUUGAUGGAACAUUUGCAGACAUUGGCGUGUAAAAUAAUACAUUUUGCAGCCAUUGUGUAAUAAACUCAACAUCUUUCCAUGUUGGCUUCUGGGAUAUUUGAUGGCUUUUGUGUGUUUAUUCUCUAACAUUUUAUGGAGUAAACGAUUAAUGGAUUGAUUGAAAAAAAAAGUACUCUACCUAAGCCUAACCCUAACCGAGAUCACUUGAGAAACCCUUCGGUGCAUCCUCUGAACCUUUGAAAGGGGCCCAAGUUGGGAACCAAUGGACUAAACUAUAAAAACUCUACUACUAUUACUACUAACAUUACUAGACCCCAGUUUACUUAGAUAUCGAUACAUCUACAAAAUAACAAGGCCAUCAUUUUCUAACUUUACUUUGAUAUAUUCAGGUACAUUUGCUUGAUUGCAUUCAAAAAGAAAACAGGAUAAGCAUUCUAAAUAAAAAUACAUCAUAUUUUCUUUAUUGGACUACAUUUCCCAUCCAGUCUCUCAGUAUUACCACACAUCCAGCACAAUAUUGUCAUGUGCUUUUAAUCCGAUCCCGGUUUACCUUCCCUGCUCCUCCACUCCCACUGCUUUCAUCUCUCUGUACACACAAUGGACUUUCUGCCAGCUGGUUUCCAUUCUGUUCACACAAACCACCUUCCUUCUACACCAGCAACAAACAACAGAGAGUAAAAGUCGACUCACACACAGUGGUUGGAUAUUUUUACACACUUAAUACACACUUUCACGAACGUAAACCCAGCGACGGAGUGUACGAGGUUAAGCAGUGCAUUCAUUCAGGAAGGAGCAUGCUCAAAUAGGGGGAGCAAUGAGGGGCUUUUUCUUGGCCAGCAAGUCCAGGCUUGGUUGCAGGCCUGUCUAUCCGUACUCAGCGCAAACAUGUCAGACAUUUCACCACCAGUGUGAGUGAGCUGAGGUCCCCCAUUCCUUCGCUGCAGGUUGGAGUUAUCUACGGCUCACACUGUAAGCCUGAAUUGUACCCGGCCGGGUGAAUUUGUUAAUACUACAUAAUUAGCUUGUAUGCAUAUUCUUUCUAAAUAUGGCGAGCCGAUGAGCGACGUGCAGCAUUCCGGGAAAAUAUCUACAAACUGUAAAACACACAUGGGUACCGAAAGCUGAAAGGCAAUGUGUCCAGGUGUCACCAAAAAAUAAUCAUGUGGGUUGAGAUUCUGACAUUGGUCGAUGCAGGCGCAACUGCUCACUUAGUCCACUGUCGGUUUUUCGGGUUUGCACUCUUGAUUUUGGACCCGCACAGCGCGGCACUACAAUCCACGGAGGAGAGACGUCCAGUUGAUUAAUCCGCGGGUGUCGGGACAAACAAGUCGCCAUUAUGCAGACACUGGACUCGAGUUAUGCUGCUUUCAACAGAUCACCACCAUGACGGACGACCACAAGCAGGAAUACAUAUGCAUUUCAGGAAGCCGGCACAGUUCUCCAUAGAGGAAAGUGAAAAGCGCGGCUCUGGCUGGAAUAUACCGAGAACACCCAAAACAAACCCACUUCCUGGCGGGGUAGAAAUAAGGGAAUGUAUUUAUGAGCAUCUGGCAGUGGUUCAGUGAGGUCAGUGCACUGAUAGAGCACGUGGAUGUACCCAUACUCCUCUACAUAUUCCAGAAGAAGCUUCAACGCGGGUCACAGAUCAUGUGGUUUUCUUCCUUAUUGGUUAAUCCAUGCACAGAGACUUUAGCUUUGUACAGUCUAAUUUGCUGCAUUUUAUGUAUAAAAUUCUGUGUUAAAACAGAAUUGUUCUAGUUUGUUGGCGUGCGUGUAUAGUCCCAGAAGGCUGAAAUCAAAUCCAGUACGGCUAACACCCCCCUCACACCCCACACACACACACUCAGGCUCACACGCAUAUUUUGACUCUCCCGUGUUGUGACAAUAUUCAAUCUGUCUUUGGGAUUUCUUUGUCGGAGCGAUUAUGCUGGCAACAUUGACCGAUAUCGAGCUCGGCUUUUGGAAGAAGACACACGGUUUUCAUAAGCUCAUUAAUCUUAAAAGGAGCAACUGUCAGAAAACAUACAGUACCCCUAUUCCUGACAUUAAAAAGGGCCCUCCGAGGCCUUGAUUUCUGGUUUGGCAGAAAACGAUAUCACACUGCCUCCAAUGGAAGGCCUUGAAUGUCCCCUUUGCAAGCUUUUCCAUUACAGAUCUAGCAUUCUUAAGCUGAGGAGCAGAGAAUUACACCAACCCUGCAAUCCAUGACACACACGUGACACACACGGCUCCAAGAGGGUUGUUUGAGGAAUCACUGCUUGUGGUUAUUGGGCUUUUUCUAUGUAGCUGAUUCUAUGCUAACAAGAGCGAGAUAUAUUAAGUAAGUACAAAAGCUAAAAGUAAAAAGUUGACCAUUCACAUUACGCAGGAUUGUGAAAUUAAAAUAAAAAGGCUGAUGUCUGCCUGAUUCCCAAAUAGGGCGGGCAUGAACCAGCAGCAGCAGUGGACUGAGUAAUUAAGGUUCCUUCACUUAAUUGACAACAGAUCUAGCCAAGCGACGUUCCAAACAUGUGCAUGUGAAAAAUUCCCAGAUUUCAGGCCGAAUCGAACGGAUACACUCUGAGUAUGAGUGGUGCAGUCACAAACAAGUAAUGAAAACCUAAUGAAAAGAUUUGUUUUCAAUAUUUUAUGAAGUUUAUGUGAUUCUGUCUGUUGCUGUUUAACCAAGCCCAUCGGCAGACAAGAACGAUAUUUGCAACACUUUGGUGAAGAACAUCAACAUCUGCAACUAUCUUUAUUCCUCAUUUAGAAUUCCUUACAUUAUCCAAUCGAGCAAAUCCAAAAAUAAAGCAGGACUUUUCUGCUCUCGGCCACAGGGGGAGCUCUUCUUCACCCGUUUGCACUGUUAACUCUGCAACACUGGGAAGGAUCACAGUCUUUUAAGUGUCGAGGCACUAGUUUAAGACGUUGCAUCAGGUUCAGCAACGCACAGCUCAUGCAAAAAGGAGGCAGGACACAGUAAGCCGCUUAAAGAUAUCGUAGCAUAACUUAUCAUGACUUGGCAAUGAGCAGCUCUGCCAACAAUGUGGACAGUCUUUGUAAAUCUCAUCCACAAAAGAGCGUGGAAAAAUGACUAUUCUUACAGACACGUUUUGCAUGACGUUUCUUAUCUAUCUAUUGGAAGUAGCACAGAAUCAUAUUUAAAUUCAAGGAGCAUCUCGUUUUGUGCACUCCAUCUUUAUCUAGAUGGUGAUAGUGAAUUAAAGCCAUUGUCUGAUAAAGGGGUCACACCUUGAGUCUUCAGUGGCGUCCAGCCUGAUCCUUAACAUAAGUGUUCUUAUCACUAAUACGUCUUAUCUUUUACAUUUCCAGAGCGUCAUCUCGAAUGUAUGGUCGCUGCUUCUCAUUCAAAGUCAUGCUUUUAUCUUAAUGAAGUGCAUCAUGAUAAAUGCAGCCUCCUUCUUCAGUUGCACAGAUUGUGUUCCAGCAGCAUGCUGUAAUUCAGGAGAGCAAGGUUUACAUAACAUCAUGAGCUCACUUUACAAGUUCUUACAUGUGCUUCGAUAUACACUCUGCACUUGGAUGCUCAAACAUUUAUCGUAACCUUUGCCCAGCUGUGGUUCCUCGGCUUUAACCGCGUGUCUAAUUGUUGGAACAUUGAGAGCAAUGAAAUGCCAUGAAGUCCAAUAUGUCCACACGUGGAUUUUAAAACUUAACCAGAGAACAAGUCAUAAACUAAUUACAAUUUCAAGUUUUAAGUGUUUAAGUAACACUUUGAUCUCCACCCUGCAGACAAAAUAAAUGUCAUUUAUUGAGUUAGUUUCAUUUUAAUUUUGCAUUGUAUAAAAUUAUUAGAUGCAAAAUCACACGCUGAUGGAAGUGUUGUACAACAAAGGAAAAAAAAAUAAACAAAGCAUACUAAUAAAAAAUGGAUAAUUUCAGAGAGAUCAUCAUGCUCAAGUACUGUAUGAUAUAUGUGAUGACGAUUUUUGAUCAACAGAGAGCAAAAAACAGAGAGAAACAAGUCAUUUCUGUUUUUCUAAUAUGUUUCCACUUUAAAUGAAAACCAGAUUUGUUCCCUUAACACAGUUGUCAUGGAUUCCCAAGGACAGCCAGCCGAAUUAAAUCAAAACAAACUAAAAAAAGAAACGAUUUCUGAUGGAGCCAAUUUAGUUUAAUGGUCUUACAGAAAGAAAUGUCUGCUAGAACACUGACACAUUCUAUCUUUGGAAUGUGAUAAAUGCAAGAAGAGGUAAAGAAGGGCUCCUAUAAUCCCCUUCAUUCACACGCCCCCCAAAAAAGGAGCAAAAAGACUGUCGUUCACACCCGUUGCCUCCCUGGACAUUUCAAACUGGGGACGCACGUCUUCUCCCCACAAAAGGGUGAAAGUCAACGCAUGAUCCUCAGACAUCCCGCUCGAUGUAACAAUUAGAAGUAUGCUCGGAACCCGAAGACACACGAGACGGGUUUAGUGAAGGUCACGAGCAAUUACCCGGCCUGGUAAAAGCUGGCACGUCGCACAUGGCACCGCUGCACGCGCUCAUUAGGCGUGUUCUGCGGCUCCGAGUGGGUCUCGUGGCCAUAAAAGACCUGAGCCCGCUGCCUUCCAAGCCUGCUCACCAGCAGGAGCACAAAGAAACUACACAUCACCACCUCUGGAUCAGAUAGGAGUUGACAAAAGUAUUCUUUUUUUAAACUAGUGUGUGUGUGUGUGUGUGUGUGUGUGUGUGUGUGUGUGUGUGUGUGUGUGUGUGUGUGUGUGUGUGUGUGUGUGUCUGUGUGUUUUUACAGGUUGAGCUUGGAUGGCGACCCUACAGGAUAAGCAUUGAUUUACCAUUCCUUAUUAUGGCCAAAUAGGGAUAUUACCCCUUUUAGACUAUACGUGCAAUGUGGGUUUUACAAUACAAAACAACUCCAAAACGUCUCUGCAGACACAGAGCAGCCUUACUGUUUGGAUCCCGAAAGAAUAUAAAUAUUCACUUCAAUUUAAACUAAUAGCCUCAUGAUGGUGUGCUAACUGCUCAUAAUCUGGACCCCGCCAAAUAAUUUCCCCACUGAGCACUGAGAUCACUUGAUCCAACUUUAAAUCAAAAACAUUGGUACCCUAAAAAAAAACGGCUCUGCAUUUAAACACUAUGGUACAUCCAGAUGACAAAUUAAGACCAUAGCAAAGAGCCUCGGGUCGAAAUUGGAAAGAUGCAUCAUGUGCACAUUGUUGUCAGAUAACACAUGUUAUCGUAAAUGUCAACGCUUCACAGCUACAGCUACACACGCACACACCCGCGCGCGCGCGCGCACGCACACAUACCGUUCAGCUCUUGUGGAAAUAAAAAAUAUAGGCCUAUAUAUAUAUAUAUAUAUAAAGGAGCAGCAAUAUUACCCGUGAAAGAAGUUAAGCUGCACACGCGCACUAUGGGCCCCAUAUGACAGGAUGACUAAUAGAACUUUGAAUUCGGCUCAGAACUUUAAAGAAAAAGCAGACUUAAGGAAGUGAAUCCUCCGAUGACACUUAAAACCAACAUCAAUAUUUACCGACGGGGGUCGUCGCACCUCGCGGGCCUCAGGUGUCGAUCGGAUGAGUUCACUUCUUUCUGUCGGAUCUGAUAGCGAUUUGGGAGGACAUUUCAGACUUUGAAGACCUAAUUGUGGGCUAUUCGUUGUAAUCUUUCUGACAAACAUUUGCUUUGAACCGUUUUGAAAGAGAAGUACUCAUGGCUAAAUAUGAGGAAACUUGGGAAAUGCAAUUUAAACCAAACACAGGCCUAAAAAAAUGUCUGAACGAUUAAUUAAUUAAUGUAAUUAAUAUAAUAAUUCUAGGAAAAUAACAGACAGUGCAGUCUGUUUUGGAUCACCGCCUCAUUAAUAUAAUUGAAAUCGAAAAAAAUAAUUAUUGUGCUAUUUCUCAAAAUCUAGCAGAUUAAACGGUGUGGACUUUUUGAAGUCGGUGAUCAUCAGCAGACAAUAUCAUAUCUCUUACUAUUACCGGCAAAUGUAUACUUAAGUUGCAAUCCUAGCCUCAAAAUGCCCCUCAAUGGCUAUAUUGUGCCAACAUGGGCACGACGUCUCAAGAGCUUUCGGUUAAAGAUUAAAUGUAAUCUUAUUAAGUUUGUGUUUAGUUUGAACACCUCUGAUGAAAUGGCGGUGCACGUGAGCAUUUUAGACCUGAAGAGACUCAUUCUGUAAGUCAGAGGUGAAGAUAUAUAAUACAUUUUCCUUCAUUCCAUUUUAGAUGGAAUGUUGAAUUCAGAGUUGGUGUUUAUGCUGCUGUGUUUAUGUGGGCAGAUGUGGUGUGAUUACACUUGAGCCACUCAAGGCUGUUUUUGUUUUUGUCACACAGGACGAGCGGCUGAUAUGUACAAAACUAACCGACGACUGUGGUGUCCACAGUCCACACGCAUAAUCCUUAUUAAAUAUCUGUUAUGUGUUUCAUUAUUUAAUAAAAAUAGUAUCCUUUUUAAUACACGUGUGUAUUCUUAGAAAUUUCAGACAAAAUCCUUUUGGUGAAUAACAUACGAUCCCAGUUAUAAAACCAGACCACAUAUGAUUAAAUAACCAAAACAAAUUAUUAACAAAUGUACUUAUCUGUAGCACAUAUUUUGGGGGCGGGGUUUAUAUAUAUUUCAAUACAUCUGAAAUUAAUUAAAAAAACUGUAAUUUAUCAGUCUCUAGAAAAUAACGUAAUAAUAAUGGGAAUUUAAUUUGUUUCACAUGUGCAAAGGCAAAUGAAGAAAUAGAAAACGACAUAAUUCAUAUUCAUUUUUCCUCACAUUAAUUUUUACAUUUAAUCUCACAAUCCCAAAGACAAUUUCAAGCCUAGAAACAAACUUUUUUUCGUGAAAUGCAAACAUGUUAUACACACAAAAUGACAGUAACGCAUAAGUAAAUGACGCAUAAAUAAACAACACAGAAAACGGUAAGAAUAUGGGGCAAAGAGAAAAGCCCCUUCUCGUGUUGAUAUGUAUAUAAAUUGAAAAAGGUAAAACCAACAUUUUUUCUCCUAAUGAAAAAUCCAGAAAAUGGUUUACCUACCCAACGGUGCAUGUCAAACUGUGCUAUUAAAACCAUGCAAUUCCUGCCAUGUCCAGAUGAGGGGAGUCCUGCUAGCAGAGCAAUUGAGGAGAGACAAAGACACAAAACGACAGUGAGGCAAGUGAGAGACACCAGUGACACAGACAGAAUGAGACCUCAAUUAUUAAUACAAUAAUUGAGGUCUCAUUCUGUCUGCACUCAACUGCAAAGAAGUUCCCUUCCGGUAUAUGGAACCAUGCACCCUGCAACGCGCAACAUUAAUAUACGAAUUCACUUGAUACAUCCACUUCAUUCGAUACAUCCAUGAUAAAGGAGGAUACCUUUUUCAUUGCAUCUUCAAGGCAACCUUCUCCAACAUCCAACUCCACUUACCCGACCUGAUGCUUUCCAUGUGUCCUGCUCCCAGAUCUGCACGGCGGAGCGGCUCUGAGACAUAUGGAGGAGAGGGGUGGGGGUGGAAGAGGUGGUCUUGGGGGACAAGGACACUGCACCUUGUUACCAUCGGGUCGACUGUUAAGUUUUACAAGUAACGUUUUGCGAGCGCAUAAACGAUACCUUCUAAACCUGCACAGGAAACUCCGUCAACAUGCUGUGAUAAUGUAAGUCUCUGGCAUCCACUGGAUGCCCCAUAGUCUGGGAGCGGUGCGAUCUACAGAGGUAUCGAUUACACGCGCCCCUUUCCAUGUUUGAUGCUCCAACACUGGCUUAUAAAAAAUAAAAAAUAAAGUCAGGCUGCUGGUGUGCAACUUUCUCUGAUGGUCACAUGAGUCGACCCCCUAAGUUUUCCAAACUCGAUUGGACAUACAGAAAAAAAAGGAUUUCGUAGUGCUGAUAACUGUAUGGAAGGCUUUCAUUAAAACAGCCGCAAAUGGAAAACACUGGCCAGUCGCAUCCACAGGUCAAUAUUUUCAGAUAUAUUCUGAUGAUAUAUUUUUCAAAUCACGUGUCUACUCCCCUCUGGAUGCACACUAAAAGCACGUCACCGGUAUCAACACUGACAAACGGCGGAGAUGUCAACCCUUUGCAUGUAUCGGUUAUGAUGUACGAGUCCUUACCGGUGGCAUGUUGGAUGAAACGUUUCCCUUUCCCUCACUUCCCCUAUUUAAAAUAUUCAAGGAGGCUGCACGGCUCCAGACCGGAUGGGGUUUGCAUUGGCUGACGGAGUUCCCAGCGCAGGACGACCAAUGAAACCAAAGCACAG